GACGAACGCUGGCGGCGUGCCUAAUACAUGCAAGUAGAACGCUGAAGAGAGGAGCUUGCCCUUCUUGGAUGAGUUGCGAACGGGUGAGUAACGCGUAGGUAACCUGCCUUGUAGCGGGGGAUAACUAUUGGAAACGAGAGCUAAUACCGCAUAACAAUGGAUGACACAUGUCAUUUAUUUGAAAGGGGCAAUUGCUCCACUACAAGAUGGACCUGCGUUGUAUUAGCUAGUAGGUGAGGUAACGGCUCACCUAGGCGACGAUACAUAGCCGACCUGAGAGGGUGAGCGGCCACACUGGGACUGAGACACGGCCCAGACUCCUACGGGAGGCAGCAGUAGGGAAUCUUCGGCAAUGGGGGCAACCCUGACCGAGCAACGCCGCGUGAGUGAAGAAGGUUUUCGGAUCGUAAAGCUCUGUUGUAAGUCAAGAACGAGUGUGAGAGUGGAAAGUUCACGCUGUGACGGUAGCUUACCAGAAAGGGACGGCUAACUACGUG
rnacentral:rRNA from 1 species